UCUCACAACGAUCAGCAAAAAAAACCUAAAACUUUCUCUCUCUGCUUCUUUCUCUUUCUCUCUUCCUCCGAGUUUUCCCGGAAUAUCCUUUCCUCCUUUUAUUUUCCGGGAAUUCCGAUUCUGCUUGCUUUGCUUCCUUUUACAGAUUAAAUCACACUUGUCUCUCUGUACGUUUUCCAUGUAUGGAAGACAAAGACAAAGCAGUAUCAUCCCGCCCUGCAAUAUCUCCGACUGAGUUCACCACCGACUCUUCCAGCUGGGCACUCGGUCCCGAUGACUCUGACGGCGUCUAUUUCUUCUCAGGAGACCGAGACGCCAGCAGUAUACUCAGCGAGUUCGGGUGGAAUCUCGAACCGGAGGAAGACGCACCGGAUCGGUGUCGAUGGUACGUCUGAUGUGGCGGGAGGAGAAGGAGGGGGCGGAGGAGGAGGAUUGUGGUUUCCAGAUCACUCUGCUCCGGGUGGCUCGACGGAACAAGCUGAGAAAGCGAACACGGUGGCAGCCGAUGCGUCCACGUCGAAUAAUCAAUCGGUGUCUUCGAGCUCUAGCGAGGAUCCGCCCGAGAAGUCCACCGUAUCAGAUGAAAAACCGCCGGAGAUACCGAGUAAAAGUAAAAAGAAGGGGCAAAAGCGAAUACGGCAGCCGCGGUUUGCAUUUAUGACUAAGAGUGAGGUUGAUCAUCUUGAGGAUGGCUACAGAUGGCGCAAGUAUGGCCAAAAGGCCGUAAAAAAUAGUCCAUUUCCUAGGAGCUACUAUCGUUGCACAAACAGCAAAUGCAUGGUGAAGAAAAGGGUGGAGCGAUCUUCGGACGAUCCCACCAUUGUGAUAACAACGUACGAAGGCCAACACUGUCAUCACACAGUUGGGUUCCCUAGAGCAGGAGUAUCAAUCAUGAGCCAUCAUGAAGCUGCCGCGGCCUUUGCCGCAGCCGGCCAGUUGGCUCCUACAAUGUCACAGUUCUAUCAUCCGAUCCAAUUACCAAGAGAAAAUGCUAGUACUCUUUCUUCUCGGUCUCAAGCUCCUCUUCCUCCUCAUCACCAGCAGCAGCAGCAGGCGCAGGAUCAUGAACCAGCUGGAGUAUCGUCCAGCACUUUAAUGUGUCCAGAUGAUGCAGCCUCGCAGCACCCUCCCAUUGAUCAAGGACUUCUCGGAGACAUUGUGCCGCCAGGAAUGCGUAAUGGAUGAGGAGGGAGAGACAUGACGCAUGGCUCCAUGUGUGAGACUCAUAUAUAGGAGGAUGACAUGCUGCGGUAGAAGAACGAGAGGGCUAAUUCUCUUAUUUGAAGGAAACUGUUAAGCAUUAAAAAAUACAGAGAGAAGAAAAAAGUGGGGAGGAGGGGAAUGAGUAAGUAGGCCCCCUCACUCUCUCUUCUCUCUCAUACUUUUAUUGCGAUGGGAUCCUCUCUGAUGGAACCAGAAAUCAAUUUAUCUUCUUACAUUAUAUUAUUCAUUCAGUUCAUGACCGAUGAAUCAAUUUGAUGUACAACGACUCUUGAAUGCUGAAGUCAAUCAAUUUAUGUACAGUCGUUUAAUUUGUUUGAGAUUUAUUCAUGCAAGCUAACUGCAGUUUUAGAAUGUUCAUCUUAAUGUACCAGCACCAUCCUGAAGAGUAUGGGACUGGGAGCUAGCUAGCUUCUGAAAGAAAAGAGAAGAAAAAAGAACUAUAAGUUUUACAUAUAGUUCUGGUAUCUGAUCAUGUAUUGGCUGGCAGAUAGAUAUUAUAUAUGGCUUUGAUGAACUUGAUCGUGAGUUGAAUGCGAGCAGUAAAUACAAAGAGUGAGUUCCACCCAAAAAAGUAAAUAAAAAGUUGGGGAUUUGAUGGAUGUACUAGCUGGUAGCUACCUCUUAUGCUUGAUAAAGAGACAUAUUUCGUUAGAUCAAGCAAGAGUUGAAGAUGGCCAAAGCUAGUACAGGAAGAGAAGGGGGAGAGAGAGAGAAAACUGGGAAUAGAGAGAGAACCAAUUUGGGUGGAUUUGCCUUACAUUCCCUGAACAAGUAGGCCACAGGGGGCACCCAUUUUUUCAGCAGCUAGCUUUUUCUCUAUCGACGAGCAUCAGAUUCCUUACUAUUAUUCAUGCAUGGAAGUCCCAUAUACAGUACCAGCAGGCUCUACCUAUAAUACCUAUAUAGCUACCAGGUAACUUCACUCAUUCCGGUUCAGCCAAAGCUUAAUUUAUAGAUAUAUAUAUAUAUAUAUAAUCAUAACGAAUAUAUAAUCUUCAUAUUAUUCAAUUUUAGUGAACAUAUGGUUCAUACAUAUACAAUAUGUAUAUUUAUUUAACGAUUGGGCCUGUAUAUAUAGCUAACUGAUGUAGAAUUGUUGAUUUUUCC